CAUCGGCGUAGGGUGAGUCGGCCCCUAAGGCGAGGCAGAGAUGCGUAGCUGAUGGGAAACAGGUCAAUAUUCCUGUACCGAUCAAUAGUGCGAUGUGGGGACGGAGAAGGUUAGCUCAGCCAACUGUUGGAUAUGUUGGUUCAAGCCUGUAGUCGUGCCUGGUAGGCAAAUCCGCCGGGCUUAGAUGAGGGGUGAUAACGAGUCGUCUUGCAGACGAAGUGAGUGAUACCCUGCUUCCAGGAAAAGCCACUAAGCUUCAGCUAUUGACGACCGUACCGCAAACCGACACUGG
rnacentral:rRNA from 1 species